rnacentral:rRNA from 1 species
AAUAGAUACCCCGGUAGUCCACCCCGUAAACGUUGGGAACUAGUUGUGGGGUCCUUUCCACGGAUUCCGUGACGCAGCUAACGCAUUAAGUUCCCCGCCUGGGGAGUACGGCCGCAAGGCUAAAACUCAAAGGAAUUGACGGGGACCCGCACAAGCGGCGGAGCAUGCGGAUUAAUUCGAUGCAACGCGAAGAACCUUACCAAGGCUUGACAUACACCGGAAACGGCCAGAGAUGGUCGCCCCGCAAGGUCGGUGUACAGGUGGUGCAUGGUUGUCGUCAGCUCGUGUCGUGAGAUGUUGGGUUAAGUCCCGCAACGAGCGCAACCCUCGUUCUAUGUUGCCAGCACGUAAUGAUGGGAACUCAUGGGAUACUGCCGGGGUCAACUCGGAGGAAGGUGGGGAUGACGUCAAAUCAUCAUGCCCCUUAUGUCUUGGGCUUCACGCAUGCUACAAUGGCCGGUACAAAGGGCUGCAAUACCGUGAGGUGGAGCGAAUCCCAAAAAGCCGUCCAGUUCGAUUGAGUCUGCAACGUCGACCUCAUGUAAC